rnacentral:rRNA from 1 species
GCACUUGUACUGUGAAACUGCGAAUGGCUCAUUAAAUCAGUUAUCGUUUAUUUGAUAGUACCUUACUACAUGGAUACCUGUGGUAAUUCUAGAGCUAAUACAUGCUAAAAACCCCGACUUCAGGAAGGGGUGUAUUUAUUAGAUAAAAAACCAACGCCCUUCGGGGCUCCUUGGUGAAUCAUAAUAACUUAACGAAUCGCAUGGCCUUGCGCCGGCGAUGGUUCAUUCAAAUUUCUGCCCUAUCAACUUUCGAUGGUAGGAUAGUGGCCUACCAUGGUGGCAACGGGUAACGGGGAAUUAGGGUUCGAUUCCGGAGAGGGAGCCUGAGAAACGGCUACCACAUCCAAGGAAGGCAGCAGGCGCGCAAAUUACCCAAUCCCGAUACGGGGAGGUAGUGACAAUAAAUACUGAUACGGGGCUCUUUUGGGUCUCGUAAUUGGAAUGAGAACAAUUUAAAUCCCUUAACGAGGAACAAUUGGAGGGCAAGUCUGGUGCCAGCAGCCGCGGUAAUUCCAGCUCCAAUAGCGUAUAUUAAAGUUGUUGCAGUUAAAAAGCUCGUAGUUGAACCUUGGGUCUGGCUGGCCGGUCCGCCUCACCGCGAGUACUGGUCCGGCUGGACCUUUCCUUCUGGGGAACCUCAUGGCCUUCACUGGCUGUGGGGGGAACCAGGACUUUUACUGUGAAAAAAUUAGAGUGUUCAAAGCAGGCCUUUGCUCGAAUACAUUAGCAUGGAAUAAUAGAAUAGGACGUGUGGUUCUAUUUUGUUGGUUUCUAGGACCGCCGUAAUGAUUAAUAGGGAUAGUCGGGGGCGUCAGUAUUCAGCUGUCAGAGGUGAAAUUCUUGGAUUUGCUGAAGACUAACUACUGCGAAAGCAUUCGCCAAGGAUGUUUUCAUUAAUCAGGGAACGAAAGUUAGGGGAUCGAAGACGAUCAGAUACCGUCGUAGUCUUAACCAUAAACUAUGCCGACUAGGGAUCGGACGGGAUUCUAUAAUGACCCGUUCGGCACCUUACGAGAAAUCAAAGUUUUUGGGUUCUGGGGGGAGUAUGGUCGCAAGGCUGAAACUUAAAGAAAUUGACGGAAGGGCACCACAAGG